GCUUCUGGUUGGUUGGUGGGUCCGCUCCGAUUGCCGGCUGGUAGUGCAUUUGCAAGUGGAGUGCGCUGAGAGGUGUGGUCCGGCGAUUGGAAGCCUAGCUUUGAGGGCACUUCUCUCGGGAAGUGAAACCCUGGCUGGUGGAUGAUUGUUCGGGCUGCAUUCUGCCCGGCGGGGAAUGGCCUACGGGUUUUGGCGCGAGCACGGCUAUCACUGGUAAGGGUCACAUGUGACACCUGCCUGUUGUUGUCGUGUUCGUGUUGGAGCUCUCUUUCCCCAUCUCGGUGUAAAAGUUGGUCAUCUAUCCGACCCGUCUUGAAACACGGACCAAGGAGUUUAGCGUAUGCGCGAGUCAUUGAGUGUUGAAAACUCAAAGGCGUAAUGAAAGUGAAUUGUAAAUGAUAUGCGAUCUAUAGCACUGCGGUGUCUUAGAGCAGCAUAGCCCCGUUCCAAUUGCAUGCAAUGGGGCGGAGGUAGAGCGUAUUCGCUGAGACCCGAAAGAUGGUGAACUAUUCCUGAGCAGGAUGAAGCCAGAGGAAACUCUGGUGGAAGUCCGAAGCGGAUCUGACGUGCAAAUCGAUCGUCUGACUUGGGUAUAGGGGCGAAAGA
rnacentral:rRNA from 1 species